AGCGAACGCUGGCGGCAGGCCUAACACAUGCAAGUCGAGCGGGCACACUGGUAGUGCUAGCUGCAGACGGGUGAGUAACGCGUGCGAACGUGGCCUUCGGCUGGGUCUAACUUAGGGAAGGUUGAAACAAUACCGGAUACGCGCUAGAGCAGCAAGGGUUCUCUGGCGAAGGACCGGCGCGCGUCUGACUAUCUAGGUGUUGAGGUUACGGCGCACCAAUGCGACGAUCAGCAGCUGGACUGUGAGGAUGGCCAGCCACACUGGGACUGGGGCACGGCCGGGACUACUACGGGAGGCGGCAGAGGGGAAUAUUGGACUACGGCGUCAACGCUGAACCAGCCCUGCCGCGUGAGUGAUGUCGGCCGUAGGGUUGUAAAGCUCUUUUCUCCGGGGCGAUAAUGACGGUACCGGAAGAAUAAGCCCCGGCUAACUUCGUG
rnacentral:rRNA from 1 species